AUUGUUCGGGAACACCGGCUAAGCACGUGCCAGUAGCAACGGUAAGACGUGCGGUGUCAGUUUAAAGCAUCAUAACUAGGCGGUAAGCGCGUCACUGCGUAGUAGUGACUCUAAACGUUGGGUAAUACUUAGAGAAUCAAUCAAAUGAGAAUAUGCUAAGUGGAAAGCCGAGGGCGAAGGCACCAACGAGAGAGUGACUGAAGCGUCAACGCGAAAGCUUGGGGAGCGAACCGGAUUGGAUACCCGCAGUAGUCCAAGCCGUCAACCAAUUAUAGUAAAGUACUAUAACGCCUGGCGACACGGCGGCAACGCCCGUAGUCAAAGCAAUUGACAGUUUUAGGGAUGCGCGGUGGAAUAUGCUUUUUAAUUCGGAGCUACGCGCAAAAUCUUACCACAUUUUUAAUA
rnacentral:rRNA from 1 species